rnacentral:rRNA from 1 species
ACGCUGGCGGCGUGCCUAACACAUGCAAGUCGAACGGGUUAAGUGCUUCGGUACUUAACUUAGUGGCGAACGGGUGAGUAACGCGUGAGGAACCUGCCUUUCAGUGGGGGGACAACAGUUGGAAACGACUGCUAAUACCGCAUAAUGUAGCGAGAUCGCAUGAUUUUGCUACCAAAGCUUUAUGUGCUGAAAGAUGGCCUCGCGUCUGAUUAGCUAGUUGGAGGGGUAACGGCCCACCAAGGCGACGAUCAGUAGCCGGUCUGAGAGGAUGAACGGCCACAUUGGGACUGAGAUACGGCCCAGACUCCUACGGGAGGCAGCAGGUGGGGAAUAUUGGGCAAGUGGGGGGAAAACCCUGACCCAGCAACGCCGCGUGAAGGAAGAAGGCCGUUCGGGUUGUAAACUUCUUUACCAGGGACGAAGGACGUGACGGUACCUGGAGAAAAAGCAACGGCUAACUACGUG